UACAGAGGUCUCAAGCGUUGUUCGGAUUCAUUGGGCGUAAAGGGUGCGUAGGCGGCGCGGUAAGUCGGGUGUGAAAUCUUGGAGCUUAACUCCGAAACUGCAUUCGAUACUGCCGUGCUUGAGGACUGGAGAGGAGACUGGAAUUUACGGUGUAGCAGUGAAAUGCGUAGAGAUCGUAAGGAAGACCAGUGGCGAAGGCGACUUUCUGGUCUGUAACUGACGCUGAGGCGCGAAAGCGUGGGGAGCAAACAGG
rnacentral:rRNA from 1 species